rnacentral:rRNA from 1 species
AGUGAACGCUGGCGGUAGGCCUAACACAUGCAAGUCGAACGGCAGCACAGAGGAGCUUGCUCCUUGGGUGGCGAGUGGCGGACGGGUGAGGAAUACAUCGGAAUCUACUCUGUCGUGGGGGAUAACGUAGGGAAACAUACGCUAAUACCGCAUACGACCUACGGGUGAAAGCAGGGGACCUUCGGGCCUUGCGCGAUUGAAUGAGCGGAUGUCGGAUUAGCGAGGUGGCGGGGUAAAGGCCCACCAAGGCGACGAUCCGUAGCUGGUCUGAGAGGAUGAUCAGCCACACUGGAACUGAGACACGGUCCAGACUCCUACGGGAGGCAGCAGUGGGGAAUAUUGGACAAUGGGCGCAAGCCUGAUCCAGCCAUACCGCGUGGGUGAAGAAGGCCUUCGGGUUGUAAAGCCCUUUUGUUGGGAAAGAAAUCCAGCUGGCUAAUACCCGGUUGGGAUGACGGUACCCAAAGAAUAAGCACCGGCUAACUUCGUGCCAGCAGCCGCAGUAA